GGAGCAGAUGCUGGACAGGUAGCAGGG
rnacentral:piRNA from 1 species